CAACAUAUUUUAAUGAGUCAUAUACUAUUGAAACAGAGAAAACAGUCCAGCACGCACUGAACUCAAUUUUGAUGUAUACAGAGUUGACGAUCAUUUUAAACUUGACGAAACUCUAGCCAGGGUCUUCUGAGCCUUCUCAAUUCAGCCUUAACUUUGGUCUAUAAAAACUUGAAAAAGACAGGAACAUAGUUGGUAACAGUUCAAGUCUACAUCUCUAGAACGAACGACCCAGUCUCCCUUAAAGUGAACUGUCUGAGAAAACUGAAACCUGCCUGUCUUCAUGGUUCCUAUAACAAAAAUACCAUGGCCUUACACAACACUUAUUUCUCACAUUUCCACAGAUUGGAAAGUCCACAAUAAAGGUGCCAGCCAGUUUGGUCUGUAAGGACCCAUUUUCUGAUUUAUAGAGCAUGGUCUUCUUGCUGUGCCCUCACAUGGCAGAAGAGGCAAGAAAGCUCUCUGGAGUCUCUUUUAUGAGGUCACUAAGUCCAUUCAUGAGUUCAUCACUCAUGAUCUAAUCAACCCCCAAAGACUUCCUCUCCCAAUAUCAUCACAUUGGGGUUUAAGAUUUCAACAUAUAACUUAUUUAUCUGGCACUGGAACUCAAAUCCAGAUUGGAACCCUUAUCUGGCCCUUGGACAAAACAGUCAAUCCUUUCUGCAUGCGUAGAAACCUUUGUCUGAUCUUCAGUUGACUUACUUUUUUGGGUAUUUGGUGGCGAGUUCAACUUCUGGCCUAACACUGUGUAGAAAUUUGCACUGAGGCAUGGCGAGGACAUAUUUUCUUCCUAUGUUUCUGGCUGUAGUCUCUAAGGCUGGGUUAUAAUUCCAGGCUGCUUUUGAAAGACAUCUCCUGGGCUGGCUGUUUAUCUUCCUGGCUCCCUGUUUUCAGUGGGAAUUCACUUCCUAACUCCUGUGCUGGAAUGUUCACUCUGGCUUCUUGUGAGACCUCUUCAUUCUAUUUGAACUUACUCUUCCCACAGGAACUCCACAGUUAAACCCCUUUUGGGUUCCUACUCUCUAUAUAUACUAUGACACUAACCAUGUCUGCUUCUAUUUUAGGCAAAAUGACUUUACUGUGGAUAAUUCGGAACUGCAAUGGUUUAUUUGAAAAUCUUAAGAUCUGCCUAAAGUGGCUCUUAUAGGACUGCUCCCUUCCCAUUUCCUUCUUUUUUCCUUCUUUCUUUUACCAUCUUAACUUUUUCCAUUGAACUCCCCUGACACUUUGAUAUGCACCUCUUUUCCAUUAAACACCCCUGACUUUUGAUAUAUACCCAUCCUUUUACCCCUACCAGAUGUUUCACUUACCUCUUUAGCCCCUCGACUCCCUAUAGUCACUGGAACGUAUGCCUCCUGAUUCACAGGGGGUUCUCGAGAGACUGAUGCACACACAAAGCAACACACGGGGCUUCCUGGAAACAGAGAUAUAAUCUACAGCCUGUGUAAGAUUACAUUUUAGGUGAAAAACCCACAAAUACCCCAAAAUAUGUUACUAAUUAAAAUCUGUCCUCACUACCUUAACCAGUGUCUGGGCUUUACCUUUGAAACUGGUGUCCUUAUUUAAAAAAAGUUGGACAUGCACCCAGGAAUAUUAUCUUUUGAAGAUAAAGGAAUAGAUUGAAGUAAUGCUACUUCAAGCCAAGGAAUGCCAAAGGUUGUCAUCAAACUACCAGAAUGCUAUGGUACGCAUAGCAAAUGAAUACAUCAGCUUUCAACAACAUCAUCAAAAAUUACAAGUCAUGGUAGCAGGCAAAAAAUAUGCUUUAAAAAGAAAAACAAAAUUAGAAAAGGACUUGGACAUGGCAAGCCAAUCAUGUGAUUUCUUGAUGUUUCUUCUGUGUUUUCUGCCUAGAAAAACCCACUGCACUCACUGCUGGGUGGAUCUAUCUGAACCUCUUAUGGCUCUGAGUGCCAUCUGAAAAAGAUGAUGGUUCCCUUUACCUUGAGUCGUUUUCCCCAGAUACACUAGAACCCAUUAUUUCAGUUCUUUUAGGUCUCUUCUGUGCUAUUCGAUUAUCAGAAAAGAUUUCAAUGACCAAUGAAUAAAAAUGACUGAUCUGUCCCUUAUGCUGUCUUAUUUUUCUUCAUAAAAUUAACAAUCUUGAACAUAUUUUUUACAAUUGUUUCUCUUUUCCACAAUAUAGUGUCAUAUUAAUAAGAUGAGACAUUUUGCUCAUUUUUAUCACUGCUGUGUGCUGAAAGCCUAACACAGUGGUAGCCCCAAAGUAGAUGCUCAAAAAUAAAUAUGCUCUGAAUGAGUAUAUUUAGUCAUUUCCUGGAAGGAGAGGCUGGGUCAAACAGAGUGCUAAGGACUCAGAAUCCUUACUGCUAGAAUGACAAUGAAAUGACAGCAUCAUGUUAGUGGCACAUUUAAAAUGAAACAGUAUCAAUAUUGAAAAUAUUUGUAAGGCUUAUUUGAAAAAAGAAAAUCAUAACACAUUUACCUAUAAUUCAGAAAUUUAAAUUUCUAGAUAAUUUCUAAGAUUAAGGUUUUUUAAUUUCUUAAACUUUUAGAUAACCAUUUUAAAGAAUAUAUAUUGUAUAUAUCUCUGUUAUUAAAAAGUAAUUGAAAGUAAUUACUUCAUAUUAUAUUAAGGCAUUAUAGCUAUAAAUAUGGUGUAAACUGUAAUGGUUAUUCUGCCCUUUCUUCUCUUGCUACCUCCUGCCAUCCUAAGAGAAGUUGCCUUAAGCAGAAUUGUCUCAUCCCGAUCCCCAGAAUCACUCUAUCCACUCACACAUUAUCUUUCCCAAGCUUGAGGAAAAAAUAACAGAGUGAGAGACGAAGAUUAUGUAUUAUUAUUGCGACUCUUGGUGUUUGCAAAAUUCCAAAAUACUGAGAUAUGGCUAAAUAAAAUUCUAUGCAACUUCUUUUGAAUGCAUGAAUGUAUAUAUUUAUGUAAGUUUUAUUUUGUUUACAUUUUGUUUUGGUAAUUAGAGUUUUAUUUCCCUUGGUGACAGAACUUUCUGUUGUCUUUCAGAUGAGUAUAUUUUUGAUUUUGAUUUAAAUAUAAUUUCCCAAAAUAAACAUUUUUGACUUAUACCUAUUUUAUGUUUUUUAUGAUGUCAAGUCCAUGGCAUUUGUUCAGGGCGAGACUUUAAUGACUGAACUUCAUGAUUAUCUUUCUACUUGCCAAACACUUCAUUUAUCUUUCCCAUUAUUCAAGAGCUGCUAUAUCCUUGAGUUUGAUAUUCUUUAUCUGGAAUUCAAUGCAAAGCUCUGCUAAGUGGUCAUGAUGAUCCAAGAGUGGAUGUUAGAAUUCUAGGAUGCCACAGGUCUUUCUCUUUCCAUAAAUCUUAAAGUCUGUAGGUUUAUGAAAGACAGUUUUGUCACAGCCAGUUAGAUUCAUGGGUUAGCAUUGUGGUGUAAGGAGGUGAAUAUAAUGAAUGAACUCAGCAAUGAACAGGUUUUCUGAUGCCAGAAGAAGUUUUCCCUGCGUGUUCUAUAGGUCUUGUGCCGUGUAUCAAGUAUUUCUUCUCUUGAUCUACUGUGCAAUGGGUAUAAGGUUUCAGUGACACAAGAUGAAGUCCUAGAGAUUGGCUGUGCAGCACCGUGCCUGGAGUUCACAGUACUGAAUCGUGCACUGAAAAAGUGUAAGAGGGUAAAUUUCCUGUUAAGUGCUCUCACCACACUAAAUAAAUAAAAUUUAUCAUGAGCCAGGCACUGAACUAAGCUCAGGAUAUAUUAUGAUGAACAAAUUUAGACAUGACAAACGAUCUCAAUAAAACUUAAAAUGUUUUGCUACAAUAAUCACCUGGAAAAAAAAGUCAGUCUUCUCUACAGUAUAAUGUGGAUGGACACAAAUGAGUGGUUUUAAGAUUAUGUUUCCUUCCCUUGUUUUUAAAAAACAUUUAUAAUAAGUAAAAUUCUUCAACAAGAGCAAAAUCAUAUCAGUUUCUAGUAUCAGUGUUUGCCAAAGACUGCUCUUUAAAAUAAAGGGAUCACCUCAGUCCAAUCUACUUGACAUGAUCCUACCUUGUCAGACAAGCUAGUCAAGAUUUGGAAAAGGCAACUACAUUUCAAUCCUUUGAAAAUCUACAUAAUCCUAAGCACAGACUUAUCAGGAUUGGUAAUGGGUCAAGUUUAGGGACACGUUACAAUUACAAUGUAAUUUUUGGCUGUAGUUGAUCAGCAAGUUUACAUCCAUAUAUUCAUCCAAGUUGCUCUUCCUCAAAAAAAUUAAUAUGUUGACAUUUCUACCUGCAAGAUUUGUGAUUCAUGUUUUAAUUAUUACAAUUUUCAUAUAACAUGUUUUAGAAUACCUGAUAUUGUGGGUGAUCUCAAUUUCUUCCUGGGUGAUCUUUCCUGGUUUAAUAUUUGUAUGAUUCCAAUGAUAAAUCUCAGAUAAUAUAAAUAGCAAAAAAUUAAAAUACUGAGAAAAUAAUAUACAACUUAUUAGGGGAGAAAGAGGAAGAGAUGCUCCCUUAGUGGCACACAGAAGGUGGGAUGCCUGGUCUGCUUUUUCUAUAUUUUUGCAUAUUUGGGGUUCAGAAAACUGAAACCCAUAGAGUCACCAUAUGCUACAUACACUGAACCUAAAGUAAUAAGUAGUUCUGAAAGAGAACAGAGGAGAAGAGGGACUCCCUACAGGGAUAAAUGGUCCAGACUUAAGGUAUGGCUUAUUUAUGCUUUCAACACCCCAGGGACUACAAUCCCAGCUGACCAAUUAAACUUCGAGAGUUUCAGUGGAGAUUUAAGGUCCUGGGAUUACUUCUGGAAAAAAAUUAAAAAGCUUACCGUGCAAUUGGCCCAAUACUCAAACCAAAAUCUAAUGGACAGAAAAUAUACAAUUUACAAACUUGUGCUUUUUUUAAAUGUUAAUUAAAAAUAUGUUUAUUAAACCCACAGAUUUUUUUAGUUGGAAAUUUUAAAAUUAAAUUUGAUUAAUGAAAAAAUAAAAUAUAAGGAAAAAUGACAUUUGGAAGCAAAAUGAAGAAUUUCAGAAGAAAGAAAACAUUCAACUAAAUGAUCUUUUGAACAUAUUGAAUUCAGUUUGCUAGUGUUGAGAAUCUUUACAUCCAUGAUCAUAAAAUAAAUUGGCCUGUAAUUUUCUUAUACCGUCCUUGUCUGACAUUGGUGUUAGGGUAAUGCAUGAAAAAAUGUGUUGGAAAGUGCACCCUUUUUAAUUGUUUGGAAAAGUUUGAGAAUAGCAUUAAUCUGUCUUUAGAUAUUUGGUAGCAAUCACCAGUAAAAGCAUCAAGUCCUGAACUUUUAAGUUUAUUAUUAUUAUUAUUGGUGAUUUAAUCUCUGUACUAGUUAUUAAUUUGUUCAGGUUUAUUCUUUCUUCAGGACAUACAUGUCUAAGAAUUUAUCCAUUUCUUCUACGUUACUCAAUUUAUUGACAUAAUUGGUCAUGAUAAUCUCUUAUGACCCUUUGUAUUUUGGUAGUAUUGACUAAUUUCUCCUGCUUUACUUAUAGUUUUAUUUGAGUCAUCUCUCUUAGUUUUCUUGGUUUGUCUACCUAAAGGUUUGCCAAUUUUCCUCACGUUUUUACAGAACCAACUCCUCGUGUUACUGAUCUUUUCUUUUGUCUUUCUUAUCUGUUUAAUUCUGCUCUAACCUUUAUAACUUUCUUCUUUCUUCUAACUUUUGGCUUUUUUCUUCUUUUCUAAUUCCCAGAGUGCCAAGUUAGGUUGCUUAUUUGGGAUCAUUUCUCUCUCUGUCUCAGUAGCUAUCAGAACUACUUUUGCUGUACCCCAUGAUUUGGUAUGUUAUUUGUCCAUUUUUGUUUGUCUCAGGAUAUUUUUAAAUUGUCUUUAUUUUUGGGUCCAUUUGUUGUUUAUGAGUGUUGAGAGUGGGGUAUUAUAAUCCCCUACUAUUAUCAUAUUGCUGUUUAUUUCUUUUUUGUGUUCUGCUCAUGUCUGCUCCAUCCAUUUUGGUGUUCCAAUGUUUCCUGGG